rnacentral:rRNA from 1 species
CCUACGGGAGGCAGCAGUGAGGAAUAUUGGUCAAUGGCCGGAAGGCUGAACCAGCCAAGCCGCGUGAAGGACGAAGGUGCCAAGCAUUGUAAACUUCUUUUGUCAAGGGACAAAAUCAGGCUCGAGAGCCUGACCGAGGGUACUUGAAGAAAAAGCAUCGGCUAACUCCGUGCCAGCAGCCGCGGUAAUACGGAGGAUGCGAGCGUUAUCCGGAUUUAUUGGGUUUAAAGGGUGCGUAGGCGGACUGUUAAGUCAGCGGUAAAAGCCCGGGGCUCAACCCCGGCGAGCCGUUGAAACUGGCGGUCUUGAGAUGUCGAGAGGUAUGCGGAAUGCGCAGUGUAGCGGUGAAAUGCUUAGAUAUCACGCAGAACUCCGAUUGCGAAGGCAGCAUACCGGCGCCCAACUGACGCUGAAGCACGAAAGCGUGGGUAUCGAACAGGAUUAGAUACCCCUGUAGUC